ACUUGAAAAUGGUUUAUAUUGACUGGUAAUUCAACAGACAAAUCUGGAAGAAGAAUUGGAUACCAAUUGGAUACCUGCUGGACCGUCAAAAGCAUUCCGCCAAUCUCUGCUUACAAAUGAAACUUCGAGCUUGGCCCUAGAAGAGUCUUUGGAAAUCGACAUUUCGUAAUUACGCCAGAAACGGCCUAUUGCGCCUCCCUUUCCCGCUCCUGAAUUUCCUGCUAGAUGGCGUUUUGGAUGAAACAGCUCCUGUAAUCCUGAUUUGUGCCGGGAUUGCCUGAGACUACAUUCAGCUGUCGACUAUUGAGUUACGCCGUGAAAGCCACGCCAUCCAUUGUUUUCACAAAUUUCACCCAGCCUCUUUGCCGGGCAGGCUCCCGUCGUGUUCGUAUCUCUUGUAAUAGUGUAGCAGCUUUGACCGAGUCUUUGUACGCUAACGUGUCCACAGAAAAUGUUCAAUAUUCGCGAUCACGUGAUCGACCAGCUCACCUCCCAUUAGCAUCUAAAUAUUUGAUGUGGCUGCCGUUUUUGAAUCGACAGGCGGUACUAUUGCAGAAGAUUUGGCACCUAACGAAAUCCCCGAAUUUGUUUUGAAAGAUGACGUGGAAUGGACUAAUUAUCUUUUAGUGCUUGAACGAAUAUCCGUUAUUUGACAGCCAUCGAUGAUCCGGGCCCUAGGAAAAGAACUCGUCCGUGCCGAUUUGGAGAAAAACCGCAGUUUAGCUGAGACUUGGUCUAUUCUCGUUUCUGCUAUUGACAAUCUUCAAUCCAAUACUUGGCCCCUUAUCACUAGCAAAGUGUACAUGUCAUUACAUUUCGGACGUGUCGAAGAAGCUGAUGCAUGCGGAAAUCCUGACCGGGCUACACGCGUCCAACGUCACGUGUUUUUGCUCAAAGCCAUCAUCGCACGUAUCAAAGAUCCGUUGUUAUGAUAAUGAAAACAUUUGGAUAACACCACCAAAAAGUGGACCAACAAAUCUUUUCGAAAAAGUCAGGUGGCUAAAUGGAUUGUCCCCCAGCCACCAGGUGACGCGAGUGUCUUCGUGAGGACGAAAUAUUUGCCAUUUUUUCCCGAGACGCUGACUGAAAGUGUAUUCCAAAUUCAUUACGGAAUUGCGGUGUCGAUCUACAUUUUCAGCCAUGAAAUGGCUAUCUGGGAUAUAAUUUCACUUGGCCAAAUAAUGUGACGACUUGGGUCGAAACUGCUGUCCAAUGUCGGCCAUUGUUAGCUGUACGUCUUGGCUGUACGUCUCAUCUUGUGCAGAAACACUUCAGACCUAUUGAUGUUAAGGUUGGAGAUAGAGAUCCCUUUGCUCAACUGUUGCAGAAAUUGAGAACACGACAAAGUCUGAGCUUCAUGACUGUUGUAUCAUCAACAUGGUUUUGUUACAGCCAGCUGGGGAAAGAUGUGAUCGAGUCAAGUUGAGCUGCAGCUGCUGCAUGCAGUUUAUCGAGCUGGUGUUAUCCCAAGUGUCACUGCAGGAAGACUCAUUGAAUUGGUAAUGUGAUUGAUGUUAUAGGUUGUAACUUGGAAAGUCUUGUGUUUUUUUUUUUUUUUUAAUAUUUUGUAUUCAAUUGACAAGUUUAAAAUUUGAUUAAAUUGUAGAAAAUUAGAGGUAAUAUUUCUUCCUUCUAAAUAAUGGUUUCCAUUCAAAGAUAGCCCUGUUAAGUUUUGUUUAAAUUGUCUUUCAAUCAAUCUAGAACAAAAAUUCCCACUCAGUAUUACCAAGUUUUUGUAACAUAUUGGAAGUAGAUGUACAGAAUUCUUUCUUGUUUAUUUUUCAAUUUUAAUUAAAUAUUAAUUUUAAAUAGAAGUAAAUUUUAUUAUUGGUACCCUUUUUCACAUUUCCAAAUGUUAUUGCUUAUUGGUUCAUUAAUGUUCUUUUGCUUUAUGAGAGAUGCUCUGAAAUGGAGUUUGGUGCAGACUUGCAGGUCAACAUCACACUUAAAUCGACUUAAAUGUGUAUUUGCCUAUGUUGGUGUCCAUGCAGUAUAUGCAGUGUUGAACGGUUGGGUAAAAUAGUUCAUGCUGCCUGAUGGCUGUCCAACAGUGACGGCCCGGACAAUCCUGAAUCCUUUAGGGUUGCCAUUCCAUCGAGGCUUAAACGAGGAUGAAGCGGAGGUGUUGCCCAUUGAGGGGUUUUGGUGACAAGGAGUCACUGAACGAAGCGCUAAACCAAAUGAAAAAAAAAAUAAUAAAAAAGCCAACGAACCUUUAUAUAUCCGAGCCGAGUCCUUUCCGUCUACAUUCGGUGUGAAGAGCAAAACCCAAAUUUCAACACAUUUUACUGCUUAGCAACGAAAACAAAGCGAGUGUCAAAACAUUGUUUUACUUGCACAUACUUUAUUGUGGCAGAAACGCGUUGGUCAUGUAACAGGGUGGAAUUUUUUUCCCUUUUGUUCAUGCAGCAUCAAACGACACGCGAUAGGUUCUGGCGGUAAUCAACUAUUCAAGACAUGUCAAUGUAAAAGACAGGAUUUUCUUCUCCGACCGCAGGUGCAAGGAAUAUGUUUGAAACUUAGAAAAGUUUGCAGUAGAAUAUUUAAAAAAAAGCCGACUAUCCUUCAAACGGUUCGAAAUGGAAGAUUUAUUCAUGCACUGAAGAAACGAGUCAAAUGACUCAAAAUGUCCAAUGUGGUAUUUCUAAAACCCAUCCCCGGCAAAGUCACCUGCAGAAGGAAAGGCCAGUUUGUAUUUCAAUCGAAGGUCAUGGAGAUCAUUACGUAAAAGGUGUCGGGCAUUGGUGUAGAGGCUGGGUGAGAAUGACACGAUUUGCUUCAUUAUCAAGAAGUUAAUUAUGGCAUUGUGUUGCUGUUGGGUGUUGUAUCGUUGAUGUCGACCACGAGAGAAAAUCUUUUAAAAGGAAAGAGAAAAGGCAACAGAAGUCAAUCGAGUGAGCAUCUCCGACCCGGUAACAACUGCAUUCUUCGUCGUAUUACCAGGUCGCAAUCACGGUUAACUAUGCCGUCAUGCUGCUAUUGGUUGUUGUAUCGUCGAUGGCUGGGUCGACCACUGGUGUACCGACGUCUCCUGAAUAAGGCGUAUAUCAAACCGCAACGCCACCGCCUUACUACGCAACAACAUACGCAACGACCAGAUACUACACCGAGGUUGCACUGUUGGGUUUACAGUUAAACCACCAAGGAUCCAGAUGAUUUCACCACAACUUGUGCUGCUCCUCGAGCUACACUACCAAAGCGCUAGAGUACUACACCGAGGCACCUACUGAGACUACGCAACUACGUAUGCUGCCCCAACCUACGACACCGAGGCUCCAGCUUAUUACAUCACCAAGGCUGUCGAAUUCUACACUGGAGCGCCCAAGUACGACAGAAAUCAGUCAAGUGAGCUUCUCCGACACCCAACACGGCAACCCCGAAGUUUCGAAUAAACUUCGUUUCAAACAGUGGAACGGCAAAGAGUGAAGACAAAUUCGACUGCAAUCGCGUCGAAUUGAAUAGCAAUGAUAACAUAUUCGUACGUGUACACCGCGCCGUUAAACUUGACAUUGUCGGUCGGCAAGCCGCACUUGACGAUGGCCGUACCAUCACCUACGACAAGUGCGUUAUUGCCACAGGUGUUAAACGAAAAUCUUUUCCAAUCCCUGAGCGGUGCCCUUAAAGAUGCCCACGAGCACGUAGCGCUGUUCCGCAACAUCGAUGGCGGUAACAUAGGUCGAGUUCUCCGUCCUCCUAAAUAUUUGAGCCAAUGGACAACCGAGAAGGUGAAAGCGGAAAGUGUUAAUGUUUUGCCCAAAACUAAUGUUGAGGGUGUAAUUUUGGAAGACUACAAGGUCGCAUUGUCCUUAAACAAUGAUUUAAACUGACAAUAUCGUCGCUGCUGUCGGUUGGGACGUAAACACGGAUUUGGCUGUUGCUUUUGGUUUGGAAAUAGAGGAGAGGAGAUUUUGGUGGUUAUCGAGUCAAUACCGAGCUUGAAGCACAAUCGAACGUUUGUUUGACGUUCUUUUGUGAUAUCAAAUUGGGUCGCUGUUGUAUGGAACAUGUUCACCAUGCUGUUGUAUCAGGGCGAUUGGCUGGAGAGAACAAUACUGGCAAAGAAAUGUGGAUGAAAAACUGCAGUGCACUGUUACCAAGUGCAUUCUGCGUCGUAUUAUCAGUACGCAAUCGGUUGAUGUGAUGUCGUGAUGUUGCCGUUUGCCUUAUCGUUGAAGGCUGGGUCGAUCACUGGUGUACGGAUGUCUCCUGGGUAUGGUGGAUACCAAAGCAUCACGCCGACGCCAUACUACACAACCUCAACAUUCGCAAAAAACGGUUACUACACUGAGGCACACUAUUACUACACCACCAAGGCUCCAGAGUAUUACACCGAAGCUGAUGCUGCCCCGAGUUACAUCAUCAAACGUACUACACCGAGGCUCCCAAGUACUAAAACCACCAAGUCACCGGAGUAUUACACGUAUGUUGCCCCAGCUUGCUGCACCGAGGCCCCCUAGUUCCUAGCUACUACACCGAG